UAACAUUUGGGGAAGAUUCAGCCAUUCUCCCAUGUGACUUCUGGUUUUUGACCAUCUAAAAUUAAGAAUGUUCAAAAAGGCGCAAUGCAUGAAGUUGACUCCUUGUCUUCUACCACCUUUCCGUUAAACUAACAUUUGGGCAGAUUCAGCCAUUCUCCCAUGUGACUUCUGGUUUUUGACCAUCUAAAAUAACAUUUGGGGCAGAUUCAGCCAUUCUCCCAUGUGACUUCUGGUUUUUGACCACCUAAAAUUAAGAAUGUUCAAAAAGUUGCGAUGCAUGAAGUUGACUCCCCGUCUCCUACUCCCUUUCCGUUCAACCAACAACGAUGUCCUCCGCAGUUAGCAUCAAACGUCGGGCUCCGCAGGUUUUUCUUCAUUUUUUUGAAGCUGCUACACCUCCCCUGGAGCCUCACUACUGGAGAUGAUGCCAGAAGAUGAUGCUGAAAAAAAUUGCAUUUUGUUAUCUUCCACACACAACAGGAAGUAGCAAAAAAAUUACACACAAAUAUGACAGCCUCUACUUUUGUUCAGCCUUGGUGGAGGUUUAUAGUUACAUAAAAGUCAUUAUAGCAUUUCUAUGAUAAGAAAUGUAAUGUUUUUUUUUUACAGGUAUUGUAUAUAUGCUUAACAUCUGAAGGCAAGUAUUCAUGAACAGUGUAUAACCUUCACAGAAUCCAUUUACUGCAUUUGUAUGUGCUCUUUAUGGACAAGAAUGCAGACUGAAUAACAUUUUUUUUUGCUUUGCUUUGGUUUCAUUGCUGUGCUUAA